rnacentral:rRNA from 1 species
UACGGAGGAUGCAAGCGUUAUCCGGAAUGAUUGGGCGUAAAGCGUCCGCAGGUGGCUGUGUAAGUCUGCUGUUAAAGAGUGAGGCUCAACCUCAUAAAGGCAGUGGAAACUACAUGGCUAGAGUGCGUUCGGGGCAGAGGGAAUUCCCGGUGUAGCGGUGAAAUGCGUAGAGAUCAGGAAGAACACCGGUGGCGAAAGCGCUCUGCUAGGCCGCAACUGACACUGAGGGACGAAAGCUAGGGGAGCGAAUGGG